rnacentral:tRNA from 1 species
GCCUCAUUGGCUCAGGGGCAGAGCGUCUGUCUAGUAAACAGAAGGUCGAUGGUUCGAUUCCAGCAUGAGGCA